GUUUCCGUAGUGUAGUGGUUAUCAAGUUCGCCUAACACGCGAAAGGUCCCCAGUUAGAGACUGGGCGGAAACA
rnacentral:tRNA from 1 species